AAAGAACCAAUAUCUCACCGAUAGACAGCAAUUUUCGAAACUGAGUGGUACACUCAUACUGCACACCACUGUCAUUAGACCAAACACCGGCUACCAUCACAGGUAGAUUUUCCAACUGUCAAAACAUUAUGAACACAAGAGUCAUAACUUGCACAUAAAGUAAAAUUAAACACAAGCCCUAAACAAAAUCAAACAAAAGGAGCCACAAUGUAUUAACCCUAAUCAAACUUCAACAAUCAUAUACUCAACAAUUAAUUAAAAGUUAAAACCAAUAAAAACGUACCCUAAUCGUGAUUACAAACAAUAUGAAUUAAAAAUAUCCGCAAACAAGCUCUGAUUUCCAGCAGAAUACUCUUAUAAUUUUUCACUUCAAUUGAGUUGAGAUUUUUUUUUUUACAAAACUUGUGCUAGAAGCUAAGAGGAAAUAGAGACAAUACUCACAAUAUACGGAAAACAAACCCCAAUUAACUAGAAAUACUACAUUAAAAAAAUUAACUAGAAAUUAAAAAGGAAAAAAUUGGACUAGUUAUUUACGAGACUGACCUUCUUCGCUGUACCAGGAGCGUUAACAUCAUUAGCGAGCGGUUGCUGGUUUUGCAGACCUUCACGUCGCUUCUUCUGCAAGCUUUCUUCUCUUUUGUUCUUUCGGAUCUCCACCAUGUUAUCCUCUCUCCUCCGGCGACCUUCAUCGGCGUCGACUGCUACCUUG
rnacentral:lncRNA from 1 species